rnacentral:rRNA from 1 species
AGUCUAUUAUUGUGUCUAUAAAUGAAAGUGUAAGCAUUCCACCUCAAGAGUAAUUUGGCAACAUUGGAACUGAAAUCAUUAGACCGUUUCUGAAACCAGUAGUGAAGUAUGUUGUUUAAUUAGAUGAUACACAAAAACCUUACCACAAUUUGAAUAUAUAUAAAAUAUAUUUACAAGCGCUGCACGGCUGUCUACAGUUAAUGUCGUGAGACUUUGGUUAGCUCCAUUAAAUUGACGUAAACCCUAAUUUUAUUUAUAAAUAUAAUUAACAUUGCUAUAUUUGAUGUUUAAGAGGG